rnacentral:pre_miRNA from 1 species
AUAACAUUCAGAUCGUUGGUCUACUGAGAAAUUUCACCCGCUCCGUGGAAUAUCUCCCCUUUGUCAU